GACGAACGCUGGCGGCGUGCCUAAUACAUGCAAGUAGAACGCUGAAGGAGGAGCUUGCUUCUCUGGAUGAGUUGCGAACGGGUGAGUAACGCGUAGGUAACCUGCCUGGUAGCGGGGGAUAACUAUUGGAAACGAUAGCUAAUACCGCAUAAUAGUAGAUGUUGCAUGACAUUUGCUUAAAAGGUGCAAUUGCAUCACUACCAGAUGGACCUGCGUUGUAUUAGCUAGUUGGUGGGGUAACGGCUCACCAAGGCGACGAUACAUAGCCGACCUGAGAGGGUGAUCGGCCCCACUGGGACUGGGACACGGCCCAGACUCCUACGGGAGGCAGCAGUAGGGAAUCUUCGGCAAUGGACGGAAGUCUGACCGAGCAACGCCGCGUGAGUGAAGAAGGUUUUCGGAUCGUAAAGCUCUGUUGUAAGAGAAGAACGAGUGUGAGAGUGGAAAGUUCACACUGUGACGGUAUCUUACCAGAAAGGGACGGCUAACUACGUG
rnacentral:rRNA from 1 species